rnacentral:misc_RNA from 1 species
AAAGCGGAUGUCAGCAGUG